GCUAAGGUAGCGUAAUAAUUUGUUGCUUAAUUGGUAACUUGAAUGAAAGGUUAAACUGGUCAGCUUAGUUUGUAGGGCUCAUUAAUAAAUUAAAGUCAGGGUAAGAAUUCUUUGAUUUUCUAGGGGACGAUAAGACCCUAGAAGCUUAACAAGGAGAGCAUUUAUUAGUGGUAAAAAUUAGUUUGUUUUACUGGGGCGGUAAAAGUAUAUAAACUACUAGGUUAUUGAAGGAUCCUUAAUAUAAAGAUGUAGCGUAAAAGUUACUCUAGGGGUAA
rnacentral:rRNA from 1 species